rnacentral:lncRNA from 1 species
UUAUUCGCUAUAUCAAUAUUUCCCUUAACUUUUCUCUCUUCUCCCUCAACUCUCUAUCCUUAUUUCCUCUCUUCGCCCUCGAGAAGGCUGCCGUCGGUCAGCUACUCCAGCGGAGCUCUACCGGAGCUCAACCAAAUAGAUACCUCUCCCCUUCUUCCAUUAUCUCAUCUUCACCAUUAGAUCCAUCCGUUUCUCUCCAUUUUCCCCACUCCCAUCUCCGUUGUCAGAUGUAGAUCCAAAUAUCAGGAAGUCGUGAUGAGUCCUUGACCAAUGAUGUAGUUUAUUUUUGGACUAGGAGUAAAUUAAUGCAAAGCAAAAGUAGUAGUCUCAGGAGUACCAAAGGUAAAAUUAAGACUAGGACUACCACUUUCAAUGUCCAUCGAUUGAUGUGAAAACGGAAGCUUGAG